rnacentral:rRNA from 1 species
UACGUAGGGUGCAAGCGUUAUCCGGAAUUAUUGGGCGUAAAGAGCUCGUAGGCGGUUUGUCGCGUCUGCUGUGAAAACUGGAGGCUCAACCUCCAGCCUGCAGUGGGUACGGGCAGACUAGAGUGCGGUAGGGGAGAUUGGAACUCCUGGUGUAGCGGUGGAAUGCGCAGAUAUCAGGAAGAACACCGAUGGCGAAGGCAGAUCUCUGGGCCGUAACUGACGCUGAGGAGCGAAAGCAUGGGGGAGCGAACAGG